rnacentral:lncRNA from 1 species
CGCUCACAAAAGGACGUUAAAUCCAUGAUUUUCACACUCAAGGCGGUCACUCGUCUUGCAGGCAGGCUUGACUUCAAAUAUUUAUGCUGCAUUUCAGAGUGCCUAUAAAUAGACACCGGCUGACGCAAUUUAAAAAAAGAAAAAGAAAAGAAAAAGAUGUUAUUUUUACCCCUGUCAGGUUCACCUGUCUCACGACGAACAUAUACCCUGGAAGCAAAGAGUGCUUUACUCUGUGCAUUCUGAUCAUGCCCUGCAGACAUUAGUAGUCCGCACAACACACCUACUAUAAACUGCACACUCUUUAAUGUGCCCCGACGGCACAAUCCUAUUUUUGUACUUUUCUGAGCAGUGAAAAUAGCCUCUCCAUACGUCUAUAACCCAACAUAAUGUCCGUUAAUGCCUUACUAAUUUGCUUUCAUAAACAUAUCUGCUGUUGCUGUACAUGUAGCACAACAGGAUAAGUAUAAAACUGCUGUAGGCGAAUUAUUGUGCUAUUAGAAUAGUGAAUCGCUACAGUUUUACAUGCUAUGCUAUACAUUAAACAGGCAAGUUCCUCUUUUUUUUAAAAAAAAAAAACAAACAACCCAACAACACACAACUGAUUAUAUCUUUUCCUGAUCUCACAACCACAAGAUGUUUUACAUUAAAGCGCCAUCUGCUGGUCGCAUUGGACGAAUGUGUGUAAUUCCCCCACGCCGCCGGCAGGGGUCAGUGUCACACAGCUCUGGAAGUGUCAGGCUCGGAUUAAUGGAGGAAUAUAAGGUUCUCCGGCUGGCUCUGUCGCUGCUUAUUACUGGAGAAAUAUUAGCCAAAAAAGGCUAAACGUGAGUAUGGAUGCAUCGAAAACAUCCCACAGCUACACCAAACAAGCUAGUUAUGGACACGGAAAGGACAAAUACGUUCCAAGUACGGUUAUUUUAAUUUAUUUUGUAACAUUGCAUUCCAGGGAACCUUUUCAAUGGCCUCAAUUGGUUUAGCUGUACGCACGUUCGCAAGUACACCUGGGAAAUGGAGUUCUUACCUCUACAACUGUAUGGGUGUAAAAGAAAUAAUUUUGUGUAGUAACCAUUAGCUUUCAUUUUUUUCCCAGUCAAUUAUCUAGCAAACAACAUAAAAUUGGAGGGGAAAAAACCUCCCGCUAGAAUUCCCAGGUGACAACUUAUUAUAUCUUGUUUUGUCUGACCACAUGCUGGAAACCCAAAUACAUUCAAGCCUCAGUUUUGUUUUUGUUGUUUUUUGUUGUUUUUUUUAAAAAAGGAAUGUGGAUUGGAAGAUUACAUCAAACUCUGCUGUGAAGGAAUGUUUUGGCACUUUUAGGGAAAAUGAGGAUCUCAUCUUUGCUGUCAGCUCUCCUCACGUUAUGGACAGAUGUGAGAACCUCUGUGUGAAUUGACUUAAGCGUUAAGUAUGCCUCUAGCUUCCUGUCUGACCUGAGUACAUUCUUGAUUUUAUUUUGUGAUUUAAUUUAACGGAAUGUCAAUAUUUAGAUUUUAAAACUGCCAUUUCACUAAAAUUAUUUUGUCCUUUCUGAUAUGAAAGCCAUCCUUUCUUCUACAAGAGUGGACUCAAAUUGCGCUCUCCCCACAACUUUCAAGCAGCUAGCUUAAACAUUCAGUGUGACGGUCACAAACCACACACACCCCACCCUUAUGAACACACUCGCAGGCCUCAUCUUCAUCCACCAACCCCCUGUCUCCCUCGGGACCUCCAGGAAAGUCUGGUGAGGGGCAAACAAGCAGGAAGUCACAGCUGCGCUCGUCCCCCUUUCAGCGUGUGUGAGAGCAAGUGUGUUUGUAUCUACGUGUAGAUCUUGGCUACAGGGCGUGUAUGUGUGUGUCUGCACGUCUGUCUGUGCCUAAGCUAGUUUAUCACACCACAGUGAUGCUGCGUUCUUUUGUUCUCCGUCUGUGAUCACGCGUUUUCGUCUUUCAGUAUCUCACUCGUUCAAUUUUAUCUUCAGCUCUCGUCUCUUUUUAUUCCCUCAUUACUAAUUAUUGCUGAUAAAACGCACAUUGUGCAAUUAUUUAAAGCAGUGAUGCAACAGUUGGCAUAAACAUCUGCGUACGAGGUUAAAACUUGUUGAACUGUGUUGGUUAGCGUUGUCUUGCCUAAUAAUAAGAUGAUGCAUUUUUGUGUAUCCAUGUACCUUUAACCUCACUAAUAGCUGCGGAUUAUGGUUCUUUUUAUUUGAUUGCCUCCCUCCUCGAUCAGGUCUUCGCUGUAAAUCUCAGGCCCUUCAGUUUAACGGGAGCAGCGUGCCUCGCCGAAAGAAAACAUGAGAAAGAGUAGCGGGAGAGGUGGAAGCAGCCGAAAGAGGCAGGAAAGAUGUGAAAACCAGAGCCGUGGCGGAGGGUGAGUACGGAUCCCUGCGGAGCCGGGAGAGAUCGACAAAUCUGGUGCGGAACGAUGGCUUGAGCAGGCGCGUGAACGUGAACUUGAAGGGGUUUCCAACUCUGAAACACAUGGACGUUCCCGUCCUUCCACCUGCAAAAGAUCCCUCAUCUGCGUCUCUGGAUCCCUUCCCGCUGGAUCCAAUGCCGAGGAUGCACGGAUGCUGUUGAGUCCUCUGGAGGGGUGUCGACGGGCACGUCGGGAGAGGGUUGUGGGCGAGGGACGGAGAUAGGGGAAAGAGGGGGGAGGUGAGAGAAAAGGAGGAGGAGAGAUGAAGGGGGGGGGGGUGACUCCACGGCCGUGACCGGACUGCCCCCUUUCUUCCCCUCAGCCUCUCUCAGUAUCUCAACUUCUUUUUUCCUCCUUCCUCCCUUCUCUGCCUCCUCCUCCUGCUGCUGCAUGUUUUUUUUUUUCUCUUUUAAUGAUUUGGGGAGAAGAGGGGAACCGGCAUUCAGAGCUCGGCUGACGGUGUGAGCGGGUUGUGCGUCAUAGGCAACGGGAGCCUGAGAGCGAAGAAGGGUUGGGGCAAUUGAGCUCUGAUGCACAGGCUGACUAACAGAGGCGGGAAUAGGGACAGAUUCAAGAUACGCUGAUCUACACUCCGGAAAACACCUCAACUCCCUCAGAAAUGCGAGGAUUUUCUGAAGAUUUUUCAUAGAAAGACCUUGUGAACAUUUUUCCAGGCAGUUUUCUCCCACUGGCGAGCAAAAGAGACAGUCAGAGGCUGAAGGAGAUGAACAGAGAGGGUGGCUCGUCUUCAUCCCGCAAUGCUUCUGAGGGGAUUCGCACCGAACUGUUCUGGUCGGCCCAAGCGGACGUAGGACCCCUUCACCUUCACUGAGCUCCUUCAGAGCAGGAGAUCCACAUUUUUCCCCAGCAGAGACU